UACGGAGGGUGCAAGCGUUGUUCGGAAUCACUGGGCGUAAAGGGCGUGUAGGCGGUCCGCUAAGUCUGAUGUGAAAGCCCGGGGCUCACCCCCGGAAGGGCAUUGGAAACUGGCGGACUCGAGUCCCGGAGAGGAAGGUGGAAUUCCCGGUGUAGCGGUGAAAUGCGUAGAUAUCAGGAGGAAUACCGGUGGCGAAGGCGGCCUUCUGGACGGUGACUGACGCUGAGACGCGAAAGCGUGGGGAGCAAACAGG
rnacentral:rRNA from 1 species